rnacentral:rRNA from 1 species
UAAGUAAGCGGAGGAUGAGAAACUAAAUAGGAUUCCCUUAGUAAUGGCGAAUGAACAGGGAAAAGCUCAACGUGGAAAUUGUAGCUUCUGGCUCUGAAUUGUAGUUUCAAGAUGCAUUGCUAAUGGGGGUGUGGAUGUAAGCCUCUUGGAAAAGAGAAUCAUUGAGGGUGAGAAUCCUGUUUGUCAUCUGCGGUCCUCCAUGCACAGCAUGCUUUCUAAGAGUCACGUUCCUCGGGAUUGGAGCGCAAACUGGGUGGUAAAUUUCAUCUCAAGCUAAAUAUGGGUUUGAGACCGAUAGCAAACAAGUACCAUGAGGGAAAGAUGAAAAGGACUUUGAAAAGAGAGUUAAAAGUGCCUGAACUUGCUGAAAGGAAAGCGGAUGGAACCAGUCCUGCUUGGUGAGAUUGUUGUGCGCCAAAGCGAUUGCUCGCAACAUCAGCGCAAGCGGUGCUGUGAGUCUUGAGCUGGCCGUGCGCGAUGCUUCUUGUCUUGUGCGUCAUCAACGUUUUGCAGGUGAGGACAACUCUUGAUACAUGGUAGCUUGCCUCUGGGCGAGUGAAUAUGUCUUGUAGAACUCACCUGCAGAAUGUAUCUCAAUGUGAGGUUGCGUUGCUGUGUGUCUGGGCACCAGGAGCGCUGCAUGCUUGCAAUUCUCCCUUGCUCCCUCAGCGCCUCCCUUGCAACUACAUGGUGACCAAAUUGGGUUCCAUUCGACCCG